rnacentral:rRNA from 1 species
AUAGGAGGGGUGCUCGAAAGAGAGCCGUAACACAGGUGCUGCAUGGCUGUCGUCAGCUCGUGUCGUGAGAUGUUGGGUUAAGUCCCGCAACGAGCGCAACCCUUGUCAUUAGUUGCUACAUUCAGUUGGGCACUCUAAUGAGACUGCCGGUGACAAGCCGGAGGAAGGUGGGGAUGACGUCAAGUCCUCAUGGCCCUUAUAGGUGGGGCUACACACGUCAUACAAUGGCUGGUACAAAGGGUUGCCAACCCGCGAGGGGGAGCCAAUCCCAUAAAGCCAGUCGUAGUCCGGAUCGUAGUCUGCAACUCGACUACGUGAAGUCGGAAUCGCUAGUAAUCGUGGAUCAGAAUGUCACGGUGAAUACGUUCCCGGGUCUU